rnacentral:tRNA from 1 species
GGGCCCGUAGCUCAGGUGGUUAGAGCAGGGGACUCAUAAUCCCACGGUCGCAGGUUCGAAUCCUGCCGGGCCCA